UACGAAGGGGGCGAGCGUUGUUCGGAGUUACUGGGCGUAAAGGGCGCGUAGGCGGCGAUCCAAGUUAGGCGUGAAAGCCCCGGGCUUAACCUGGGAAUUGCGCUUAAGACUGGACUGCUUGAGUGCGGGAGAGGUGAGUGGAAUUCCCAGUGUAGAGGUGAAAUUCGUAGAUAUUAGGAAGAACACCAGUGGCGAAGGCGGCUCACUGGCCCGGUACUGACGCGUGAGGCGGCGAAAAGCGUUGGGGAGCAAACAGG
rnacentral:rRNA from 1 species